GCUAGAGGCUAGGGUCUGGAACCUAGAAGCUAGAGGCUAGUGUCUGGAGACUAGAGGCUAGCUUCUUCUUCUUCUUCUUCUUCUUCUUCUUCUUCUAUUGGAGGCUGUCAGGUCCAGAUGGAUGGAGGCUUUAUUAGGUGGCUAGAGGCUACGGUCUGGAGCAUUUGGUCUGGGGGCUAGAGGCUAGGGUCUGGAGUCUAGAGGCUAGGGUCUGGAGCAUUUGGUCUGGGGGCUAGAGGCUAGGGUCUGGAGACUAAAGGCUAGAGGCUAGGGUCUGGAGUCUAGAGGCUAGGGUCUGGAGUCUAGAGGCUAAGGUCUGGAGCAUUUGGUCUGGGGGCUAGAGCCUGGGGUCUGGAGCCUUUGGUCUGGAGGCUGUUUGGAGGCAGUGGUCUGGGAGCCGGGGUAUGAAGCAGUGUGACCCAUUAUGUUUAAUGAUUAUGUUUAAUGAUGGCUGUUCGGAGCACAGUGGGCCCCUCGUCCUCCACUCUGGAUGUGUUUAUUUAUGUCCUAUCGACCCACGACCCACGGUCACAUCGACCCAUGGCAAACAGAGAUCCUAUCGGCCAACAGAGAUCUUAUUGACCCAUGGCCAACAGAGAUCCUAUCGACCAACAGAGAUCUUAUUGACCCACGGCCAAUAGAG
ensembl:lncRNA